UGCCAUUCAAUGAUUUGGAGAGAAAGGUUUCUUGCCCAUUGUGCAGUGAACUCUUUACGGAAGAUGACAUCUGUACACAUGCAAGUGUCUGUGGAGAAGGCAUGCCAAAUGAGGAAUAUAUUUCCACAAGGCACACCACUAAGCACUUCAGCAGCUUAUCAGCUGUUCUGCAGGCUUUACAAGACAAAAUUGACACUAUACAGACCUUCAUCAUUAAUGUGACACGUAA